rnacentral:rRNA from 1 species
AAUCAACGCUGGCGGCGUGCCUCAGACAUGCAAGUCGAACGCGAAAGUCCCCUUCGGGGGAUGAUUAGAGUGGCGCACGGGUGAGUAACACGUAGGUAAUCUACCUUCGAGUGGGGAAUAACUCAGGGAAACUUGAGCUAAUACCGCAUAAUGCAGCGGCACCACAUGGUGACAGUUGUUAAAGCAUUUAUGCGCUUGAAGAGGAGCCUGCGGCGGAUAGCUAGUUGGUAAGGUAAUGGCUUACCAAGGCUACGAUCUGUAACCGGCCUGAGAGGGCGGACGGUCACACUGACACUGAAUAACGGGUCAGACUCCUACGGGAGGCAGCAGUCGGGAAUUUUGGGCAA